CAAUAUUCUUGUAUAUAAUAAAGGUUGCAUUAAACUUGCAGAUUUUGGGGCCUCCAAACAAGUUGAUCUGGCUGCAGAGGCUUGGAUUGAUGUUGAAAGAGUUCAUACAAUUGCAUUAGGAGCCAAGAAGAACUAGUGUCAUGAUGAUCUAUCUUUUUUUUUUCGGUUUUAAAUCAUGUUGUAAUUUUGCUUCAUUUUCAUCUUCAAUUGUAAUUUUGUAGGUUUGGUAAUAAAAAAGGAUUGAAAAUUUAUAGUGUA